GUACUGAUGUAUUGUCUGGCACAAGCAUGUGGACUAGUAGUUAGUGCACCCUAUAGUUUACCUGGUGCCCUUCCAAAGGGCCAGGGUUCAAAUCCCUGGAUAAACA